UUGGUCAAGAUAUUAAGGGCGUAUGGGGGAUUCCUUGGCAUAUAGGUUUAAGAAGGACGUGGAUAGCUGCGAUAAGCCUCGGGAAGCUGCUAACAAGCUUUGAUCCGGGGAUUUCCGAAUGAGGAAACUCACAUAGAGUAAUGUCUAUGUAUCAUUGUCUGAAUUAAUAGGGCAAUGAAGAGAACCAGGUGAACUGAAACAUCUAAGUAACCUGAGGAAAAAAAAUCAAUUGAGAUUCCCUUAGUAGCGGCGAGCGAAACGGGAUCAGCCUAAACCUAAUUAUUGUUAGUAGCUUACAGGCGCUGAUAGUUAGGGGUUGUAGGAUGCUUCUUUAUUCUUCUGUAAAAGAGUAGGUAAGUUACAAAGUGUUAUGUUAGUAAAAUAUUCUGGAAAGAAUAACCAUAGAGGGUGAUAGUCCCGUAUACGAAAACAUAGCACCUUACUUGAAGUAUUCCUGAGUACCGCGGGACACGAGAAAUCCUGCGGGAAUCUGGGAGGACCAUCUUCCAAGGCUAAAUACCAUUAUAUGACCGAUAGUGAACCAGUACCGUGAGGGAAAGGUGAAAAGAACCCAGGAAUGGGAGUGAAAUAGAACAUGAAACCAUACGCUUACAAGCAAUACGAGGAUCCUUUUGGAUCUGAGUGUGUGCCUAUUGAAGAAUGUGCCAGCGACUUAAUAGCAGUAGCAAGGUUAAGUUUUUAUACGGAGCCGUAGCGAAAGCGAGUCUUAAUAGGGCGUUCAGUUGCUGUUAUUAGACCCGAAACCCGGUGAUCUAUCCAUGAGCAGGAUGAAGCGAGAGUAACAUCUCGUGGAGGUCCGAACCAGUGUAUGUUGAAAAAUGCUUGGAUGACUUGUGGAUAGUGGUGAAAUGCUAAUCGAACCGGGAGAUAUCUGGCUCUCCUCGAAAUGACUUUAGGGUCAGCCUUGAGGUUAAGGAGUCCGGAGGUAGAGCACUGUUUAGGCUAGGGGUACCACCAGUAUUACCAAACCUAGGCAAACUCCGAAUGCCGGACUUUCAUACUCAGGAGUGAGUCUUAGGGGGCUAAGCUCCUAGGACAAAAGGGAAACAACCCAGAUCGUCGAUUAAGGUCCCUAAAUGUACACUAAGUGGGAAAGGUAGUGGAGUCACACAAACAACCAGGAGGUUGGCUUAGAAGCAGCCACCCUUUAAAGAAAGCGUAAUAGCUCACUGGUCGAGUGGUUCUGCGCCGAAAAUGUAACGGGGCUCAAGUGUACUACCGAAAUCACGAGUUGAUAAUUUAUUAUCAGCGGUAGAGGAGCGUUCUGUAUUAGGUUGAAGUCGAAUUGAGAAGUUCGGUGGACGAAUCAGAAGUGAGAAUGUUGGCAUAAGUAACGAAAAAAUAAGUGAGAAUCUUAUUCGCCGUAAAUCUAAGGUUUCCUGGGGAAGGCUCGUCCGCCCAGGGUUAGUCGCGCCUAAGUUCAGGCCGAAAGGCGUAGACGAUGGACAACAGGUUAAUAUUCCUGUACUACCGAAAAAUCGUUAUUAGCGAUGGGGAGACGCAGUAGGAUAGAUUAGCCUCUUAUUGGAUUGAGGUUUAAGCUUGUAGGAGGAGAAGAUUGGUAAAUCCGUCUUUUCAUAUACUCUGAGGAGUGAUGACGACCAGCUUGCUGGGAAGUAAUUGAGUCCACACUGACUAGAAAAUCCUCUAGCGAGAUUUUUAGGUAACCGUACUAAAACCGACACAGGUAGAUGGGUAGAGAAUACCAAGGCGCGCGAGAUAACUCUCGUUAAGGAACUCGGCAAAAUAGCCUCGUAACUUCGGGAGAAGAGGUGCCCGUUUAGGUUAAACUUUUACAGUGUAAGCCUAGGUGGGUUGCAAUGAAAUGGCUCAAGCGACUGUUUAUCAAAAACACAGGUCUCUGCUAAACCGUAAGGUGAUGUAUAGGGGCUGACGCCUGCCCAGUGCUGGAAGGUUAAUAGGAGGUGUUAGACUUCGGUCAAAGCUCCGAAUUGAAGCCCCAGUGAACGGCGGCCGUAACUAUAACGGUCCUAAGGUAGCGAAAUUCCUUGUCGGGUAAGUUCCGACCCGCACGAAAGGCGUAACGAAUUGAGCACUGUCUCAACGAGAGACUCGGUGAAAUUGAAUCAUCCGUGAAGAUGCGGAUUACCUGUAGCAAGACAGAAAGACCCCGUGGAGCUUUACUAUAGCUUGGCUUUGUUUUUUGGACUAAUUUGUGCAGUAUAGGUGGGAGACUUUGAAGUGACGACGUCAGUCGUUGUGGAGUCGUCAGUGAGAUACCACCCUGAUUAUUUUGGAAUACUAACUACGUCCCGUUAUCCGGGAAUAGGACAGAGUCUGGUGGGUAGUUUGACUGGGGCGGUCGCCUCCUAAAGAGUAACGGAGGCGCUCAAAGGUUCACUCAAAACGGUUGGAAAUCGUUUGUAGAGCGUAAGGGUAUAAGUGAGCUUGACUGCGAGACUUACAAGUCGAGCAGGGACGAAAGUCGGACCUAGUGAUCCGGUAUCUCCGAAUGGAAGGGAUAUCGCUCAACGGAUAAAAGUUACCCCGGGGAUAACAGGCUUAUCUCCCCCAAGAGUUCACAUCGACGGGGAGGUUUGGCACCUCGAUGUCGGCUCGUCGCAUCCUGGAGCUGGAGUCGGUUCCAAGGGUUGGGCUGUUCGCCCAUUAAAGCGGUACGUGAGCUGGGUUCAGAACGUCGUGAGACAGUUUGGUCCAUAUCUGCUACAGGCGUAGGAAAUUUGAGAGGAGCUGUUCCUAGUACGAGAGGACCGGAAUGGACGUACCACUGGUGUACCAGUUAUUCUGCCAAGAGUAAACGCUGGGUAGCUAUGUACGGAAGGGAUAACCGCUGAAGGCAUCUAAGUGGGAAGCCCACCUCAAGAUUAAAUUUCCCAUCACUAUAUGUGAGUAAAACCCCUUGUAGAUCACAAGGUUGAUAGGCUGGGUGUGUAAGCGCAGUAAUGCGUGUCUAG
rnacentral:rRNA from 1 species